UGGGGAAUAUUGCACAAUGGGCGAAAGCCUGAUGCAGCAACGCCGCGUGAGUGAUGAAGGCCUUCGGGUUGUAAAGCUCUGUCUUUUGGGACGAUAAUGACGGUACCAAAGGAGGAAGCCACGGCUAACUACGUGCCAGCAGCCGCGGUAAUACGUAGGUGGCAAGCGUUGUCCGGAUUUACUGGGCGUAAAGGAUGCGUAGGCGGAUUUUUAAGUGAGAUGUGAAAUACCCGGGCUUAACUUGGGUGCUGCAUUUCAAACUGGGAAUCUAGAGUGCGGGAGAGGAGAAUGGAAUUCCUAGUGUAGCGGUGAAAUGCGUAGAGAUUAGGAAGAACACCAGUGGCGAAGGCGAUUCUCUGGACCGUAACUGACGCUGAGGCAUGAAAGCGUGGGUAGCAAACAGGAUUAGAUACCCUGGUAGUCCACGCCGUAAACGAUGAGUACUAGGUGUAGGAGGUAUCGACCCCUUCUGUGCCGCAGUUAACACAAUAAGUACUCCGCCUGGGAAGUACGAUCGCAAGAUUAAACUUAAAUGAAUUGACGGGGUCAUAGCUG
rnacentral:rRNA from 1 species